UGGUCUGUACUAUAUAUAUAUAUAUAUAUAUAUAUAUAUAUAUAUAUAUAUUUCUCCGUGACACAAACCACUGGCUGAGGCCCCAACAACUUACAAUAAAUGAAAUUAAAUGGCUCCACUUAAAUUACGGUCACUUCACCUGCUGAGGUCUGAAUGCACAGCCUCACAAAUUUCUCCUGGUCACAUCUACAGAGAAAUCUGCGCUGGUUCAUCUGUCAGUUGGAUCUGUCUGAUCCAAACCGAUCAAUUGAAGUCUGAGUUUUUUAUUGUGCACGUGGUCCAGUGUGUGUUUUUUCCAGGAUUUUUUUCGUGUGGUUUUGCUUCCCCGGAACGGACAGAUGUUACGUCUGCUGCGCUCAUCCUGAGCGCUGCUCUCCUUUUGGGCAUAAUGUCUUCUUUACCCAUAGGGUAAUGUUGAAAACUCAGGGUGAGUUUGCGUCCGCAUUGGCUGUGCAGCGGACUGCGCAUUUAACUUCAGCACCUUUUAUUUAUUUCCUAAAGAUAAACUGCCGGCUCCUCUGUUUAGACUAUAAAUGGAUUAACACAACAUCUUUUUAGUUUUCUCUGUUCUGUUUGUAAUGGAGAGUGAAAUUAAACGCACCUCGGGCUGAAACGAUUUCUCGAGUGAUACCUCGAUUAUUAAAAUUCCUUGAGGAAAAUUUAUCUGCCUCGAAGCUUCCUUAAAUUAUGUUUUACUAUUUAAUGCGCUGUGUUCCGGCCAGGUUAUUACUUGCGUUGCGCAGAGCUCUAACUUCCAUGUAAGUUGUUGACGAAACCUAAGUGUUAGCAGUAUAACGCCCAGUUUUCAAAUUUGGCCUGGGAGGAUUUUAUUGAUUCAUGAUAAUGUCUGGGUCUUUGUCGUUUUUCGGGGAACCAAUGAGCAUCCUUAAAAUGAGUGGCGCGAUGCCUGGAGUACGGCAGAUUUCCUCCUCCCGGAGCUGCUGCAUGAUGGCCAGUGUUCAGAGCGAACGCUGGGGAAGAGGGGUGCAAGUGUAUUUAUACAGGUGAGCGGAUAGACUGAACACUGCAGGCUACUGCGCAUUAGAUAAUUAACGUAAGCGUAGCUUUACGGACGAACCGGAAAGUUUAUUUCAUAUCAUCCCGGUCUGAACAAAUGUGUUUUGGAGCUUAUCGUGGCGGAACGUAGCUGCUAGAUGUGUUUCUGUUGUGAACCGGGGUUUUGGUUUCUUUGUGGGAUUUUUCUGUUUGCCUGCUGUUUCCCCCUUCGUCCACUAGAUGGUGACUAAAGACUGCACACCUUGGAGGGCGUGCCCACUGACUCUGUUGGUGCACCUGUGAUUCAUCACUCAAUCAUUCCGGAGUAUAUGAGGAGCAGGCUGCCAGCACUUCAACGCCUGAGUGUUUGCCAGUUAUGGUGUUUCCUUGUGACACCUUGGAAAUUCCCCUGUGAGUCCUGAGUCCUGGCUUUCUGGAUCUCUCCCCUCAUGACGCCAUGGAUUGUUACACACUGGUUGCCCGAGUCUCUUCUUCGUCUCUGCAGAUCUUCAAUAAACCGUUCCUGGAUUCCCAUCUGGCAGUCGGUUCGCUCCUCGUUUCUCCACAUUUGAACUUACCUGUCCGCCCUCCACCGCAAGCCUCUCCAUUCACCGUUGAUCAACUCUCCGUCAAGACCUCACACUAGAAUCCGGAUCACUUCAAAGUAACUCACAAAGAGACCAUACCCUGGAGACCACUGUAUACCCCCCUGGCGGAAGGUUUUCUUCACAUCAAUGCACAGACGACCACGGUUGCCAACUCCAAGGACAAGAAUCACACAAUCUUACUUUUUCAUCUUUGUAAAAAAUAAACUUAAUUUAUCUGGUCA